rnacentral:rRNA from 1 species
UACGUAGGGUGCAAGCGUUGUCCGGAAUUAUUGGGCGUAAAGAGCUCGUAGGCGGUCUGUCGCGUCGGCUGUGAAAUCCCGAGGCUCAACCUCGGGUCUGCAGUCGAUACGGGCAAACUAGAGUAUUGCAGGGGAGACUGGAAUUCCUGGUGUAGCGGUGAAAUGCGCAGAUAUCAGAAGGAACACCAGUGGCGAAAGCGGCUUCCUGGUCCAGCACCGACGUUCAGGCACGAAAGCGUGGGGAGCAAACAGG